rnacentral:rRNA from 1 species
GACGAACCGUGCGAACGUUAUUCGGAAUCACUGGGCUUAAAGGGCGCGUAGGCGGGCUCGUAAGUCAGGGGGGAAAUCCCACGGCCCAACCGUGGAAGUGCCUCUGAUACUGCGGGCCUCGAGGGGGAUAGGGGCGUGCGGAACUCAGGGUGGAGCGGUGAAAUGCGUAGAUAUCCUGAGGAACACCGGUGGCGAAAGCGGCGCGCUGGAUCCCUUCUGACGCUGAGGCGCGAAAGCCAGGGGAGCAAACAGG